CCUACGGGUGGCAGCAGUGGGGAAUAUUGCACAAUGGGGGAAACCCUGAUGCAGCGACGCCGCGUGAGUGAAGAAGGUUUUCGGAAUGUAAAGCUCUAUUAGCAGGGACGAGACAAGACGGUACCUGCCGAAGAAGCCCCGGCUAACUACGUGCCAGCAGCCGCGGUAAUACGUAGGGGGCAAGCGUUAUUCGGAAUAACUGGGCGUAAAGGGUGCGUAGGCGGCUGUACAAGUUUGAAGUUAAAGUGGGAGGCUUAACCCGUGGACUGCUUUUGAAACUGUUUAGCUGGAGUGCAGGAGAGGUAAGUGGAAUGCCUAGUGUAGCGGUGAAAUGCGUAGAUAUUAGGAAGAACACCAGUGGCGAAGGCGGCUUACUGGACUGUAACUGACGUUGAGGCUCGAGAGCGUGGGGAGCAAACAGGAUUAGAUACCCUUGUAGUC
rnacentral:rRNA from 1 species